CCACUCACUUAAGUGGAAUCACACUGAACCAAAAAACAAUGUCUGCCAUCAUGCCAGGGCCCAGAGUGCCUUUGGACUCCCCUCUCCACACAGUGUGCUCAAAGCCCCGUUGACCCCAGGAUCUGUAACAAGGGAGAUUUGCCCUCCAAGCGAGAUGCCCACGGCCUUCUCAUCUGUGUUUUCCGAUCGCUGGCACGUGAAGUCUUGGCAGAUGUUUCCCACAAGGGAGCCCCAGUCCAGCUGGUGUCUCUGCCAGCCCCAUUCCUCUUUGAAAAGCAAAUAAGCCAUUCGCCUGUAAUCUAAUCAACGGAUUUCAAAAAGCGCCAAAAAAAGAAACUGCUGGUCCAAAAAUAAACGCUUUGGGCCACCUCUCCCUCCUGACAUGGUUUCUCUCGGUGGCCCUGGCAUGGGGGUGGAG
rnacentral:lncRNA from 1 species